GACCGUGACGGYACGUGAGCGGUGCGGUAACCUGGUGCAUUGGCGGGCUCCCUGCUUCUGUGCAGCCGACCGCGAGUGCGGCAGGACACCUCGUUUGGAUUGGAACAAACUUUYWGGKURGCAAUAUUCGGUGGGYCGUAUCGCAUAGUUGGGAACGUGGCAACUCGGCGACCCUACGCUAGUCWGCAUGCCGUUCUACUCUCGUCUCCUCCCCUCGGGCGGGCGAGAGGCGGAGGCGGCUUCUUACGACACGUCCCGUGCGCCWKYCGGUGGCGYCUGCUUGCGGCCGCACAUGUGCGUGCGUGCGUGCGGCCURWWCYGCGCCGCCCGUCUGGUCCUCGGGAUCGUYGUGUGCUCACGGAUGCGGUGAAUUAGAUGGGGUCGGGUGUYCCMMCGCGGCUCUCGACCGGACGAMCWGGRAAGGUGUCUGCGUACGCCGCGGGCGGGCAGACGGACGGAACGGAACGGAACGGAACGGAAYGGAAUAAACGACCGCCGGRCGYGCGUWCGUCCCGAUCUCGCCGUCUCGGCGGAGAGAUGGGCCGCGCGCGGGCGUCGUCUCGGAAGGUUUGCUACCUGGUUGAUC
rnacentral:misc_RNA from 1 species